UAAGGAAUAUUGGUCAAUGGACGCAAGUCUGAACCAGCCAUGCCGCGUGAAGGAUUAAGGUCCUCUGGAUUGUAAACUUCUUUUAUCUGGGACGAAAAACGGCGAUUCUUCGUCACUUGACGGUACCAGAUGAAUAAGCACCGGCUAACUCCGUGCCAGCAGCCGCGGUAAUACGGAGGGUGCAAGCGUUAUCCGGAUUCACUGGGUUUAAAGGGUCGUAGGCGGGCAGGUAAGUCAGUGGUGAAAUCCUAGAGCUUAACUCUAGAACUGCCAUUGAUACUAUCUGUCUUGAAUAUUGUGGAGGUAAGCGGAAUAUGUCAUGUAGCGGUGAAAUGCUUAGAUAUGACAUAGAACACCUAUUGCGAAGGCAGCUUACUACGCAUAUAUUGACGCUGAGGCACGAAAGCGUGGGGAUCAAACAGGAUUAGAUACCCUGGUAGUCCACGCCCUAAACGAUGAUUACUCGACAUUUGUGAUACACUAUAAGUGUCUGAGCGAAAGCAUUAAGUAAUCCACCUGGGAAGUACGACCGCAAGGUUGAAA
rnacentral:rRNA from 1 species